rnacentral:rRNA from 1 species
UACGUAGGGUGCGAGCGUUGUCCGGAAUUACUGGGCGUAAAGAGCUCGUAGGUGGUUUGUCGCGUCGUCUGUGAAAUUCCGGGGCUUAACUCCGGGCGUGCAGGCGAUACGGGCAUAACUUGAGUACUGUAGGGGAGACUGGAAUUCCUGGUGUAGCGGUGAAAUGCGCAGAUAUCAGGAGGAACACCGGUGGCGAAGGCGGGUCUCUGGGCAGUAACUGACGCUGAGGAGCGAAAGCAUAGGUAGCGAACAGGAUUAGAUACCCUGGUAGUCCAUGCCGUAAACGGUGGGCGCUAGGUGUGGGGGUCUUCCACGACUUCUGUGCCGUAGCUAACGCAUUAAGCGCCCCGCCUGGGGAGUACGGCCGCAAGGCUAAAACUCAAAUGAAUUGACGGGG